CGCUCUCUUCAUCUCACUCAUUAUCUUUGUCCUAACAUUUUCUACUAUCACUUUUCUCUCCUCUGUCUCUAAAAAAUCAAGGUUCCAACUAGCCAAGUUACAAUUGUUGAUAGAGCAAGUUCUUUCAAACCUUGUAAGUUGUAAUCCAUUCAUCUUGAUUGACAUGCAUCCAUCAUGAAAUGUCUCUUAGGGUCAUAUUAGCCAAUCAAAGGAAAAUGUAAAUUAUUUUUCCUUUCCAUGAUGUAUGGCGAUAGCCUAUAGUUGUGCGUAAUUGUCAAAAUAUUGUACACAUUUUUAAUCAAAGUUGCUGGAUUUGGAUUCCCUACAAUCA